GCAGCUACCAUGCAGUCGAGCGGCAGCGGGGGGAAGCUUGCUCUCCCCGCCGGCGAGCGGCGGACGGGUGAGUAAUGUCUGGGGAUCUGCCUGAUGGAGGGGGAUAACUACUGGAAACGGUAGCUAAUACCGCAUAACGUCGCAAGACCAAAGUGGGGGACCUUCGGGCCUCACGCCAUCGGAUGAACCCAGAUGGGAUUAGCUAGUAGGUGGGGUAACGGCUCACCUAGGCGACGAUCCCUAGCUGGUCUGAGAGGAUGACCAGCCACACUGGAACUGAGACACGGUCCAGACUCCUACGGGAGGCAGCAGUGGGGAAUAUUGCACAAUGGGGGAAACCCUGAUGCAGCCAUGCCGCGUGUGUGAAGAAGGCCUUCGGGUUGUAAAGCACUUUCAGCGGGGAGGAAGGCGAUAAGGUUAAUAACCUUACCGAUUGACGUUACCCGCAGAAGAAGCACCGGCUAACUCCGUGCCAGCAGA
rnacentral:rRNA from 1 species